CAUAGCCUCAACCUAAGGAAAUGAUCGACAAUCGAUUGACGACAGGAGUUAUCAACAUGAUUUUCGAGCGAUCGAGUGAUUGGAGGGCAACUUUCAAAGAAGAGUCUGUAAAGAAGCAACAACUUGAUGAUAAUGUAAUCUUUUUUUUAGAGAAAGAUGUUUGAAAAAUACAGACUCUCCAUGAUGAUGCUAUCAUCAUC
rnacentral:lncRNA from 1 species